CUCUCGGCAAUGGAUAUCUCGGCUCUUGCAUCGAUGAAGAACGUAGUGAAAUGCGAUACUUGGUGUGAAUUGCAGAAUCUCGUGAACCAUUGAGUCUUUGAACGCAAGUUGUGCCCGAGGCCUUGUGGUCGAGGGCACGCCUGCUUGGGUGUCAUGGC
rnacentral:rRNA from 2 species